rnacentral:rRNA from 1 species
UACGGGGGGGGCAAGCGUUGUUCGGAAUUACUGGGCGUAAAGGGCGAGUAGGUGGCCAUCUAAGUCAGACGUGAAAUCCCCCGGCUUAACCUGGGAACUGCGUCUGAUACUGGACGGCUUGAGUAUGGGAGAGGAAUGUAGAAUUCCAGGUGUAGCGGUGAAAUGCGUAGAUAUCUGGAGGAAUACCGGUGGCGAAGGCGGCAUUCUGGACCAUUACUGACACUGAAUCGCGAAAGCUAGGGGAGCAAACGGG